rnacentral:lncRNA from 1 species
AACAAAGAAACCGUCAGUGGAAGAGUUAGGUGAGGUCUCGGGGAAACAGUCGGAGGAAAUCACGCUAAAAUGGUCUAUACACAAGCUCUGGUGUUCGGCAUGUCCGUCAGGAAUGAGCCGGAAAACCUAACGCUGGCGGAGGACCUAAGCCUCAUCCCGGGGCUCAGAGGAGACGGAGAGCCGCUCCAGCACUGCGGUAGACUCAUGAAGGCACAAAGCUUCUCCAUGGUCUUCAUGGUGGUACAUUCAGCAUGUUUUAAGACGCCAGUGAUGACAGCUUCUCUAAACUCAAGUAAACAAGCUCUUGGUGCUGAUGCCCGACUCUGACGUCUGCAUGAUCAGCUGAGUGGCCAGGAACUGCUGGAUCUGCUCCAGAACGUCUCUCUGCAUCUCCAGGGCCAUGUGAUAAACGUCGUGAUCCGAGCUGUUGUACAUCACUGCGUUCUGGAACAUCAGCAUUAUGUCCCGCUGGAACUCGGCUGUGGUGCGGAUCUGGCCAGACUCGAUGUUCUUCUUGAUGGCUGAGAGGUCCAUUGGUCUGAAUGAGAGGGGGGGGGGAGAGCAUAAACUAUAUGCUAAAAAUCCUAUAAUGUUUCCUGAAUUUACCAUUUAAAAGUACCAUUAUAUUUUAAUAGGUAUACAAGGCUGCAUUUACACUGCAUGGUUAAAGUCACCCAAUUCCUUUUUUUUCUCCCAUGUGGCACAGUUUGGAUAUGGCUCAUGUACAUGUAAGC